AUUGCCAUCUUUCUUUGGUACAUUUUUUGGUGCUGUAAUCCCAGCACUUUGGGAGGCCAAGGCAGGAGGGUGCCUUGAGCGUAGGAGUUCAAGACCAGCCUGGGCAACACUGGGAGCUGCUGUCUCUAUUACAAAACAAACAAAGCAAAAACUAAGAGAUUAAUAUUGGGGCUGAAAGAAGUGACACUUCUUGGUCAGAAUGUUAAUAGUUUUCGGGACAAUUCGGAGGUCCAGUUCAACAGUGCAGUGCCUACCAAUCUCAGUCGUGGCUUUACCACCAACUAUAAAACCAAGCAAGGAGGACUUCGUUUUGCUCAUCUUCUGGAUCAGGUCUCCAGAGUAGAUCCUGAAAUGAGGAUCCGUUUUACCUCUCCCCACCCCAAGGAUUUUCCUGAUGAGGUUCUGCAGCUGAUUCAUGAGAGAGAUAACAUCUGUAAACAGAUCCACCUGCCAGCCCAGAGUGGAAGCAGCCGUGUGUUGGAGGCCAUGCGGAGGGGGUCAGGCUUGCUUGGAGAGGGGGCAUCCCUCACUUUUCCAUGUUUCCUUAAUGACCAAACAGUGUCCUUGUUGCCAAGAACCUAGCAUAGUGUGUGGCACAAAGUAGCUGCUCAGUAAAUAUUUAUUGUAUGACUAAGCCACUGGGCACUGGAGUUUGCUUCUGCUCACUUCAUAAGCAAAGGCUAAGGACUGGUCACCCAUUUUCACUGUUUAGUUUAAAAAGCAUAAAUAUUUACUGAGCAGCCACUGUGUGACAGUAAGUAUUUAUUGUAUGACUAAGCCACAGGGCACUGGAGCUUGCUUCGCUAACUCCAUAACAUAGGCUAAGGACUGGGUCAUCCAUUUUCACUGUUUAGUAUGUUUUUUUUUAAUUAAGCACCUAUGGUGUGGCACACUCUGAGAUUUUAAUUUUUUAAUGUUAACAUUAAGGUUUUGUUACAUCUUGGAAUUUAAAUGUCGCUCUAUGUGUUCACUUUCUUUGAGAAUAAUAAGUAUUACACAGAUGAGACUGAA
rnacentral:lncRNA from 1 species